rnacentral:rRNA from 1 species
AGAGUUUGAUCCUGGCUCAGGACGAACGCUGGCGGCGUGCUUAACACAUGCAAGUCGAACGAUGAACCCGCUUCGGUGGGGGAUUAGUGGCGAACGGGUGAGUAACACGUGGGCAAUCUGCCCUGCACUCUGGGACAAGCCCUGGAAACGGGGUCUAAUACCGGAUACCACCCGGGGGCGCAUGCCUCUGGGUUGAAAGCUCCGGCGGUGCAGGAUGAGCCCGCGGCCUAUCAGCUUGUUGGUGGGGUGAUGGCCUACCAAGGCGACGACGGGUAGCCGGCCUGAGAGGGCGACCGGCCACACUGGGACUGAGACACGGCCCAGACUCCUACGGGAGGCAGCAGUGGGGAAUAUUGCACAAUGGGCGAAAGCCUGAUGCAGCGACGCCGCGUGAGGGAUGACGGCCUUCGGGUUGUAAACCUCUUUCAGCAGGGAAGAAGCGAGAGUGACGGUACCUGCAGAAGAAGCGCCGGCUAACUACGUGCCAGCAGCCGCGGUAAUACGUAGGGCGCAAGCGUUGUCCGGAAUUAUUGGGCGUAAAGAGCUCGUAGGCGGCUUGUCACGUCGGGUGUGAAAGCCCGGGGCUUAACCCCGGGUCUGCAUUCGAUACGGGCAGGCUAGAGUGUGGUAGG